UAAUACGUAGGGACCAAGCGUUGUUCGGAUUUACUGGGCGUAAAGGGCGCGUAGGCGGCGUAAUAAGUCACUUGUGAAAUCUCCGGGCUUAACUCGGAGCGGCCAAGUGAUACUGUUAGGCUAGAGUGCAGAAAGGGCAAUCGGAAUUCUUGGUGUAGCGGUGAAAUGCGUAGAUAUCAAGAGGAACACCUGAGGCGAAGGCGGGUUGCUAGGCUGACACUGACGCUGAGGCGCGAAAGCCAGGGUAGCAAACGGGAUUAGAUACCCCGGUAGUCCUGGCCCUAAACGAUGAAUGCUUGGUGUCUGGAGUAUUUAGUCUCCGGGUGCCGGCGCUAACGCAUUAAGCAUUCCGCCUGGGGAGUACGCACGCAAGUGUG
rnacentral:rRNA from 1 species